GGGCUGGUAGCUUAGAUUGGUCUAAAGCGUCUGGCUCUUAACCAGAAGAUCGAGGAUUCAAAUUCCUCCCAGCCCG
rfam:Halonotius sp. J07HN4 genomic scaffold scf7180000001348, whole genome shotgun sequence.